GCUUGUCUCAAAGAUUAAGCCAUGCACGUGUAAGUAUAAAAUAACCUAUACUAUUGAAACUGCGAAUGGCUCAUUAUAUCAGUUAUAGUUUACAUGAUAAUAAUUUUCUACUUGGAUACCCGUAGUAAUUCUAGAGCUAAUACAUGCUGAAAAUCCCGACUUCGGAAGGGAUGUAUUUAUUAGAUUAAAAACCAAUGCCCCUCGGGGCUCUCUGGUGAAUCAUGAUAACUAGUCGAAUCGACAGGCCUUGUGCCGGCGAUGGCUCAUUCAAAUUUCUUCCCUAUCAACUUUCGAUGUUUGGGUAUUGGCCAAACAUGGUGGCAACGGGUAACGGAGGGUUAGGGCUCGACCCCGGAGAAGGAGCCUGAGAAACGGCUACUACAUCCAAGGAAGGCAGCAGG
rnacentral:rRNA from 1 species